rnacentral:rRNA from 1 species
AUUGAACGCUGGCGGCAGGCUUUACACAUGCAAGUCGAACGGCAGCGGGGGAGAAGCUUGCUUUUCCUGCCGGCGAGUGGCGAACGGGUGAGUAAUACAUCGGAACGUGCCCUGUAGUGGGGGAUAACUAGUCGAAAGAUUAGCUAAUACCGCAUACGACCUGAGGGUGAAAGUGGGGGACCGCAAGGCCUCAUGCUAUAGGAGCGGCCGAUGUCUGAUUAGCUAGUUGGUGGGGUAAAGGCCUACCAAGGCGACGAUCAGUAGCUGGUCUGGGAGGACGAGUAGCCACACAGGGACUGAGACACGGCCCGGACUCCUACGGGAGGCAGCAGUGGGGAAUUUUGGACAAUGGGCGAAAGCCUGAUCCAGCAAUGCCGCGUGUGUGAAGGAGGCCUUCGGGUUGUAAAGCACUUUUGUCCGGAAGGAAAUGGCUCUGGUUAAUACCUGGGGUCGAUGACGGUACCGGAAGAAUAAGGACCGGCUAACUACGUGCCAGCCGCCGCAGUAA